GGGGCUGUGGCUCAGUGGCAGAGCAUCUGUUUGUCCUACAGAAGGUCCCAGGUUCAAUCCCUGGCAUCUCCA